CCUACGGGGGGCUGCAGUGAGGAAUAUUGGUCAAUGGCCGGAAGGCUGAACCAGCCAAGCCGCGUGAAGGACGAAGGUGCCAAGCAUUGUAAACUUCUUUUGUCAAGGGACAAAAUCAGGCUCGAGAGCCUGACCGAGGGUACUUGAAGAAAAAGCAUCGGCUAACUCCGUGCCCGCAGCCGCGGUAAUACGGAGGUUGCGAGCGUUAUCCGGAUUUAUUGGGUUUAAAGGGUGCGUAGGCGGGCUGUUAAGUCAGCGGUAAAAGCCCGGGGCUCAACCCCGGCGAGCCGUUGAAACUGGCUGUAGUGAGAUGUCGAGAGGUAUGCGGAAUGCGAAGUGUAGCGGUGAAAUGCUUAGAUAGUGCGCAGAACUCCGAUUGCGAAGGCAGCAUACCGGCGGCGAUCUGACGCUGAGGCACGAAAGCGUGGGUAUCGAACAGGAUUAGAUACCCGGGUAGUC
rnacentral:rRNA from 1 species